AUGUAAUAGUGGUAAGGAAUCUAUCAACGUAUGUAUUUAACUGAAUCAAACCAACUGCAGCGAAACUCAGCGCAUUUAUGGAACUAGAGAUUAAAGAAAAGUUAUUUAUUUUAGUUUUAACUGGGCUAAGGUUAAGGUCACAGAAGGUCAAAAUAGGGCAAAAAUUAGUGGUAUUUUUUCUGGUGAGAGGUCAAGUUUAAUCUACGCAAUGAAAAGGCACAUUAACUUCAAAUUGAGAAAACGACUGC